rnacentral:rRNA from 1 species
AUUGAACGCUGGCGGCAGGCUUAACACAUGCAAGUCGAGCGGGGGAAGUUGCUUCGGUAACUGACCUAGCGGCGGACGGGUGAGUAAUGCUUAGGAAUCUGCCUAUUAGCGGGGGACAACAUUUCGAAAGGGAUGCUAAUACCGCAUACGCCCUAAGGGGGAAAGCAGGGGAUCUUCGGACCUUGCGCUAAUAGAUGAGCCUAAGUCGGAUUAGCUAGUUGGUGGGGUAAAGGCCUUCCAAGGCGACGAUCUGUAGCGGGUCUGAGAGGAUGAUCCGCCACACUGGGACUGAGACACGGCCCAGACUCCUACGGGAGGCAGCAGUGGGGAAUAUUGGACAAUGGGGGGAACCCUGAUCUAGCCAUGCCGCGUGUGUGAAGAAGGCCUUUUGGUUGUAAAGCACUUUAAGCGAGGAGGAGGCUACUGGUAUUAAUACUACUGGAUAGUGGACGUUACUCGCAGAAUAAGCACCGGCUAACUCUGUGCCAGCAGCCGCCGUAA